GUAAACCUGCCGCCACAGCCUGCCCUGUCGGGCCGCUGAGCUGCAUGGCAGCAGCUUCCAUAUGCUCCCGCCGUCCCGGCGCUUGCUUCUGGGGUUUAGACUCGGCACUUCUGAGAUAAUAAAGACAGAUCCAGAUAAAGAAAAACCUCUAAAGAAAAUCAAAAGCUGUGAUUCCUUCCAGACUAAUAUGGUUUGAUCAAGCAAGACCCCCUGAAGCUGAGAUGAUACAGCCUUACAGACUAUAAAAACAAGGACUUGGUCAGGUUUCUAUGUUUUAUCAUGAUCCUAAUGGUAUAUGAACAUCGCCCCCAAUCAGCAGGAAGCAGUUUAGAAAGAACGACGCCCAUAUUCCCAAGUAUUGUUUAUAAAUGUUUUUUUCAUUUAAAUGAGGUUAGUUAUAAAUGAUAAUGAGCAUAGUCAAUCUCUUUUUAAAGAAAGAAAAGGGGAAUAGGAUAUAGGAAUGAAUACUUUAAAUUGGUAAAGAUUUUCAUUUAUUGAUACAACUUUAAGGUCAGUUUUGUGAUAUGUAUAUGUCUACUCUUGUUUAGGUAUUGUGUUUAUACAGAUCUUUUACCUAUAAUAGUCAGAACUUAUAAUUAGGUUAGUUAGGUUUUCUAGAUAUAGAGAUGUAUUUGAGAUGGUUAGGUAUUCUUCAAACCUUUCAAAGACCUACAGAAAUAUGGCAUUUAAAUGGUUUAGGGUUUUUCUUGGCAGUGAGACACAACUGCUCCUGGCACACCAAUUAUGUCAGAAAGGAGGAUGGGCAUCAAAGAAACUCGUUAUGGAGUUUGCUUUCAACAUGGC
rnacentral:lncRNA from 1 species